AUUGAACGCUGGCGGCAGGCCUAACACAUGCAAGUCGAACGGUAGCACAGAGAGCUUGCUCUCGGGUGACGAGUGGCGGACGGGUGAGUAACGUCUGGGAAACUGCCCGAUGGAGGGGGAUAGCUACUGGAAACGGUAGCUAAUACCGCAUAACGUCGCAAGACCAAAGUGGGGGACCUUCGGGCCUCACACCAUCGGAUGUGCCCAGAUGGGAUUAGCUAGUAGGUGGGGUAAUGGCUCACCUAGGCGACGAUCCCUAGCUGGUCUGAGAGGAUGACCAGCCACACUGGAACUGAGACACGGUCCAGACUCCUACGGGAGGCAGCAGUGGGGAAUAUUGCACAAUGGGCGCAAGCCUGAUGCAGCCAUGCCGCGUGUAUGAAGAAGGCCUUCGGGUUGUAAAGUACUUUCAGCGGGGAGGAAGGCAGUGAAGUUAAUAACUUCACCGAUUGACGUUACCCGCAGAAGAAGCACCGGCUAACUCCGUGCCAGCCGCCGCCGUAA
rnacentral:rRNA from 1 species